AGUUUUAAGCUUCGAUGCGUUCGGUUCGCUAUUCCCGAUACGGCGUGAUUCUAAAAAAAAACACGGUUUGGUGCACUCUAAACUCGCAACGAUCCCAAAAAUUCGACAAUCGGAGUGCUAAGUGCUCGGAUUUUUUGACCAAAACAUAAUUGUGAGAAUUGAGAAACUUGAUUAGUGUCAUUUUUUGAUUUACUUCGGAUUUUUUUCGGAUUUGUACUGAACACACAUUUCUGGCGAUUAAAAGAUCCACGAACAUCUUUAUUCACGUGCCGAAGCCACAAGUUGUUGAUAGAUAACUCACUGGGCAAACAACAAACACGACCCGAAGACCCAAGAAACCCGUCGUCGAGCAACCGAAAACUGAAAACAAGAAACAAACAAACCCAAAACUCUUGUCUGGCAUUUCAUUUGCUUGGAUCGCGUUACGUGGUGCGGUUGAUGUUGGUCGUCUGCCCGCCAAAAAGAAAGUCACGACAGAAACGAGAUUUCCAAGAUUCUGCAACGAAAGUCAAAGUUACAAGUUUACUCCAAAUUCGAGUCUUUUUGGCCCGGUUCAACGUCUUUGCAACACAUUUUCGGUGUCUGCCCGUGUGUGUGCCACUUUAGAAAGUGAAAAUCGAGUGCAGUCCGCUACUUUGUCUGGAAUCGAACUCAUCUGAAUCUCAACCCAUCGGCGGCUGCAGUUGAAAGUGAAUUUGUUUCGGGCUGCAAGUGAUCACCAUUUUCGUGAUUCGAUUUUUGUGGUGUUGUGAAUUCAUCACUAUCGAUCAGUAGUAGCCCGGGGUUUUCGGCUACUUGAAUCCACUUCACAUCCAUCGACAGGAGAUUUGACCGGCAAAUCGGAGUGGCAACAAUGGAGGCCGAGGAAGUUACAAAACUCGUCGAUGGCGUGUAUCGGAACAUACUGGAUAGAUUCAAUCCGGGUGCCAGGCAGCUGAUCGCAGCGGGCAAAAGUUACCUCAAGGCGUUGCACGGUGCCGCAACCGCCUCGCGUCUAUUCAAUGAAGCAUUGGCCAAGAUUGCGAUGAACGCCCAGCAAAGCGGAACGGGCGAUAUUGGUUCAGCUUUGAUGAGCGUUGUGAAUGUGAACAAGGAGAUACAGGAUCAGCAGAUGAAUAUUCUAAAAGCCUUCUACGUGGAUCUAUUGGUGCCAUUGGAGACAAAUCUGGAGAAGGACACAAAGGUGGUGCAGCAUGAGCAGAAGAAGUUCCUGCAGCAGCACAAGGUGCGAAUGGAGAGCUACCAGAAGGCCGUCUCCACGAUGAAGAAGCAGCGCAAGAAAAAGGCCACGCCCGAGAACACCGAAAAGGAGCUUAGGAGCCUUCAAUUGCUCGAGGAUCAGAAGAAAAAGCUGGAUGUGUUCUGCGAUCAGAGCUACAAGAAUGCCAUGACACAGGAGCGACGACGGUACGGAUUCGUCUUGGAGCGCCAGUGCUCGAUCGCCAAGCACUGGAUGGUCUACCACACCACCGGCAAGACGGUAAUUGAUAAUAAUUUCGAAAAUUGGCAAGAGAUUGCCGCUUCUCGUGAGAUCAUUCCACCGGCCGCCUAUGAAAGUGGAUACAGUACCAGCAACGGACACAACAACAACAACAGCAGCAGCAGCGGCGGCAACAACAACACCAGCGGCAACAUGCGACGCCUGGAACGAAUUAAGGACGGCGAGGAUGACCACCUCCAGGGACACGGAGCUCAGCUAAAGAAGUCGCGCAGCAUCGAUGCCCCCUAUGGUGAUAUGCGCACCCUGCACGAACGGGAGAACCUUUCCGGAUUGGGCGGAACUGGACCAGCGCACUAUGCCCAGAACUCGUUGCCACGCGCCAAAUCUGAUUUCAAUCUGGCUUUAGUGGGCACUGGACAGAGCUCAGCCAACAAACACAAGAUCAUUGAGGAGCAGCUGGCCACUCUGGGCGACGAUCAGCGCGGUGACCAGCGUCCAUUGGUGAAGGCCCUCUACGCCUACAUGCCCUCCGGCGAGAAUCAGUUGUCCUUCGAGGAGGGCGACCGCAUUGCUCUGGUGGGUGGAAAGGCCAAGGGCUGGCAGUUCGGUGAGAAUCUGCGGACACAGCACUUCGGCUGGUUUCCGGUGGCCUACACCAAUGCGGAAGUGGCAGAGGCGACCACUUCCGGCGGCCGGCGAUACGAAAACAUGCUGAUGAGCUAUGAGCGAAAUGGUGGCGGAUCGGGAUCCGGUUCUGGCGGAGGCGGUCUGCGCAGCUAUCAGCAGCAGCAGGAUUACGAGGCGCAGCUGGAGCUAAUGGAGAGCCAUGAGGCAACGUACCGCAGGCGAAGGAACCACAGUGCCGAGGAGUCAUCACCCACGCGGAUGUUCGGCGACACAAUCAAGCAGCAGAAGAAGUACCGCCCCGGAUCCGGGGCCAAUCCGCGCCCGGGUCCGCCACCCACACUGCCCGCUCCGGUGCCCAAUGGACCGCAGAGCCAGUCUUCCAGGAUGCUGAACAGCUCUCAAAGCUUCUGUGCCUCCAACGGAGGAGUGAAUGCGGCGGUGGAAAGACGCAAACAAAAGCUACUAAAUGGCGUUCAGAGCUCUAAACAUCCAUCGGGCAAAUCCGGAGUGGCGGCCAAGACCUCGCUGCACAGCAGCAAUGACAGUGGAUUCGCCAACGAGCCUCCACCACAGCCGGAAGUUGACUAUUCGGAUGAGGAGCCAGCCACACAAAGAGUGGCCAUUCGCAGGCGCGGUAUAUAUCGCAACUAUUCCAUAGAUUACUGACCUGUAGCGAGCCCGUGUAUCCCAGCUAGCCCCACCAUUCCCCGUAUUAGGUUGUUUUUCCAGCCAGCCUCCCAGUUCGCCACGGUCAAGUUGCGACACACCAAGACCAACGACCGAUCGGCACCGAUGAUCUAUCGGAGUGUGAACAAGUAGCAACG
rnacentral:misc_RNA from 1 species